rnacentral:rRNA from 1 species
GCGUGCAAGCCACGGGAGGAAAUGCCCGCGGCGAGCUCGGUACAAUUGAAUAGGGAACGUGAGCUGGGUUUAGACCGUCGUGAGACAGGUUAGUUUUCCCCUACUGAUGACCGUCGCCGCAAUGGUAAUUCAGCUUAGUACGAGAGGAACCGCUGAUUCAGAUAAUUGGUUUUUGCGGCUGUCUGACAAGGCAGUGCCGCGAAGCUACCAUCUGCUGGAUAAUGGCUGAACGCCUCUAAGUCAGAAUCCAUGCCAGAAAGCGGUGAUUUUCUCCCACACAUCGUAGUCGGAUACGAAUAGGCCUCGGCCCU